AGACAUCAGAGGGACCUGGUAGGGCAUCCAUCACCCACUGAUCACUUGGGCAGAUCUGAUCAAUCUGACUGGCUAGGUGAGUGUCCCCUUCCUCUGCUCAUUGCUCCACAUGCACCCCUUCCAGGGUCACACACUCGGUGGAAGAAGAUAACCUUCCCUGAUUGUGGAGGUCCAGUGUGAGAGCAG
rnacentral:snRNA from 1 species